ACUUAAACACACAGCCACCUGUUUGAACACUGUUUGAAGUGGCUAAAUUCCAGCAUUUAUGUAACUUGCUUGUAGAAAGGAAAUGACAUCACUUAGUUUCCUGAAGAUUAUUACCAAUGUCAGAACUGAGGAAAUAAAAUCUACAAUAAAUAGAAUAUUUUAAAAUAUUUUUUUCUCUUUUCCAGUAGGACAUCUCUCCAUCCUGUUCUGCUCAUCCCUUCAAAGACCAGGAAACCCCAUUAAUUUCACAUAGACUUCCACACACGCUGCCAUGAGCAGGCUGCAAGCUGCUGUAAUUUACGUGUUACAUUGAUGAAAUGAAAUCUGGCAAGACAGGAACGAAAUUAUACAAUGACAAAGCCUGCAAUGUGCCUUCAUGUAAAGAUAUAGGCAUAAAAUAACAACAACAAUUUCAUAAUUAGACUGUGUAAAGCUUCAGCAUGUUCAAGUGACUGCAAAAGUGGAGUAGCUGGGAAAAAAGCUGGGAACCAUUUUAUGUAGGCACGAACCAUAUGACAGGACCUGAGGAACUGGCAUGAAUUGUGUUAGGGGACAUUUGGUUUGGAUAUCAGGAAAUGGUUUUUCUCCCAGAGGGUGGCUGAGCACUGGAAUUGGCUCCCCAGGGAAGUGACCACAGCACCAAGCCUGACACAGUUCAAGGACUGUUUGGAUAGUGCUCUGAGGCCCAGGGUGUGACUCCUGGGGCAGGGCAGGGCUUGGACUACAUAAUCCUUGUGGGUCCCUUUCAACUCAGCAUUUUCUGUGAUUCUGUGAUAUUUGGUUUUAAAUGUAAAGUUUACGUUAUUAGAGUCUUCAUAAAGGCUGCAUGUGUUCUGAGAUAUUUGUUUUAAAUCUUUGCCAGGCUAUAAAGUUCCUCUACUGGUAAUUUUAACUGAGCCAUGUUGAAUUACAUUACACGAGGGCUUCAUCGUACUCUGUGAUGCCAGGAACAUUUCAAAAUUUGUCCUAGCUGAUAACUCCUGUUUUACUGUCUGCUUUUUCUACAGUAAGUUAUCAAGUGAAUUAAAGACUACUGGAUCACCUAGCUAGCAGCCCAAAUAAAAUAGAAAGAGCAGCUUACCAUAGGAGCUGAGACCUCUGUUUUGGACAAAAGAGAAACUGCGAUAAAUACGAUAACAAGCUGUUAAUGAAGAAACUUCACUGUAAUAUAGAAUGAAAAAUAGUUCAGCAGAAAAUUUGUGACUUUCUACCAAAAAAGAAGUAAGUUACAAUUUUAAGUCAUCACAGAAAAGGUUCUGUAGUAUCAGACAGUUGAUUCCAACAGGAUACAGUUUUCAGGAAGAAUUUAUGUUCUUUUGUUUGUGCAAUCCCUCACAAGGUCACAGCUACUAUGCCUUCACAGACUCUUACAUUUCUACAGUAACUUUUUCUUCAGAAAACAAUUCAAGCAGGUUUUAAAGGCUCAUGAGAUACAGGAAGGUCUCAGAAACAGAAGCACAAUAAACUGAACACUGCUCUCAGUUACUCUCACUUGUCCCUAAAGCAAUCCAGAAUUUAGGCUGCUGUACCUGACAAGAGAUUUUGACUCACCAUCACUCAUAAUUGUUGUGCCAUACAAAGUAGGAUGCCUUAUUGUUGAAAGAAAGUCAGGGGCAAUGCCAAUUCAGUUUUUGUCUGAAAAAAACAUGGAUAUUCUCUAUACAGAGACACAGUCUAUUUGUCAUGCAUAAUAUGUGGUCUUGAAUGACAUGACAUGUUUUUACAAAGUGCAUCUUCCCUGUAUUGAAAAAAAUCAACUGCAUGAGUCAAAUAUUUCUGUAGUGAAAAACAAAGGACUCCAAUAAAUAAAAAUUCUGGUUUAAGCUAA